GAAACACAGAGUGAGACAAACUGACAGCCACAGACAGAGGGAAUGACUGGGAAGCCAGGACACUUGGAGGGACCAUGCUGGUGAUUAUUUACAAGAGAGAUACAACACAGAGAGGAAACAGAGAAGAAUGCUUGUAAUCUGGGACCACCUCAGGGAAGAAGUGUUUGUGAAAGAAUCCACAGGAAGAAUAAAAAUAAUAAAGAGUGAAGACUGCAUCGGUUGUCAUAGUGUAAUAUCAAAAAGAAGGAACAAUUUGAAAAAAAUGCCAUUCAGUAGGAUGUUUUCACAAUAAACCUUAUUUGUAUUUGU